rnacentral:lncRNA from 1 species
UUUUUCACAUUUUUUUCUACUUUUCUCUCUUUUUUUUUUUGGUUUUUUUUUAUUCUUUCUUUUUCUUUCAAUAGUAACAAAAGACUUAGUCGCUAGCCAUUUGAGCCUUUUGACGCGAACUCCAACAUUGGCCAGAUGAAGGAGCCCGGUUACUCAGAUUCUAUCGCCACGUGACCACGUACUCAUAGAAAUUACUACCUUUUGACGCGAGAAUCAACACUUUUAGGUGCAGAUCCCCGGUUACUCAGUAGUAACUAAUAGCGGAGUACAGUCAAGUUUAUUCAUAGCUAAAAAUCACAAAAACUCAAUAUAACACAAAAACCAAAAGAAAACUUGCAUCAGCUAGCCUCAUUUUCAAACAUGGAGAACUAAAGUUAAUAACCGGACCAAUUCACACGAAAAUGCCAAUAAUCAUUCCCUAUGCCUAGGAAAGUUAACCAAAAAUUAUAAGAGUAAAACAAUCAUUGAUAUUCACCAAAGAGAUGUUUUUGGAUUCAACCACAUUAACUUGGUACCCUUUUAUUAUUAAAA